CCUUGUUUAAAUGAAUAUUUUAAGUGAAUGAAUGCCAUUUGAAAGAUAUUUGCUUAAUGGACCCUUUUUUGAUUAUGACAAAAGGGGGGAGAAAAGUAAUGAUUGAAAAAUUGAAUGCAUGAAGAGAAAAUUAAAGGAGUUUUUCAAUUGAAUAACACAAAUGAUGAUGAGCAAAUUUUUGAAAUUUUACUUAUCUAUAUAAGUAAGGGGAGUUUUAUUUGAGUAAUUUGUUUAAAGUUUGUUGUGAUCUUAAAAUUUAACCCAAUCAAACUUAUAUCAAGAAUACUAUCUUUUCUAUACAAGAAAGGGGGAGCAUGAUUGAAAAUAUGAAGAAUUCUUAAUACAUUAUAUUAAAAUUUUAAAAUCUUUUUGUGAUUGAAAGGUGGUACUCAAAGGAUGUUGUCAUUAUUAAAAAGGAGGACAUUGUUAGCUCUAGAAUUAAUUUUGAUGAUGUUAAAAGUAUUUGAGUAUAAAUCAUGAUUAUUAAUGAUGCAUUUGAGGGUGAUUGUAGGAUUUCUUAUAAUACUCAAUGGUUGAUUUCAUCCAAAAAGAAGUCCUCUUAAAUUUAAUUAAAUUUACUCUCAAGUCAAAGAUUCAUAUUUAGAAGCAAAGAAAUUGAGUUUGAUAUGAAAAGAUUUGAAUAAAUGAAAAGUCUAAUUUAGAAGGACCUCUAAACAAGCUCAAUUAUACAAAAAUUAAUUUUGAGAAGGCAAAUCUAGCCUCGAACAUGUUUGAAUAAUGAAAAUUAUCUAAAAUUAAUUUUGGUAUGCUUGACACAUCUUUGAGUCGACUAAGAAAGGAGCUUAGCCAAUCCAAUAUCAGUUCAAGGGAAAGACAAAAAGAGAUGAAAUUUAAAAAAACUCCCUUAGCUGAUCAAAAUUUUAUCUUAGCCGACCAAGAUAGAGUCCUAGCCGACUCAAGCAUUUGGAUAGCCGACUCAAUCUCAGUCUUUGGAUAAAAGUAGAAGAGUGAAGAUUUUAUAAAUUCUUCUAAGCCGAUCUAGCAAAUAACUUAGUCGGCUUUAAAUUCUUUGUGCCGAUUCAAAAAUUUUGGAAAGUUUACGGACCUUAUCCUUCAAGCUAUUGAGUGAAACACAAGAGAGAAAGUAGAAAAAAAUUAAGAGUGCUUUUAAUUUAGUUCUUCUCAUAUUUAUUCAACUAACAAGAAAGAAGGUAUAUUGAUUUGAGCCAAUCACUUUAGAGCAAAGCAUUGAAGCUUUCAUCAAUCCUCUCUCAAGCAUUCAAGGAAGA
rnacentral:lncRNA from 1 species